rnacentral:rRNA from 1 species
UGCGCAGGCGGAAAAUUAAGUCAGAAGUGAAAGCCCCGAGCUCAACUUGGGAACUGCUUUUGAUACUGAUUUUCUUGAAUAUAGUUGAGGUAGGCGGAAUACAACAUGUAGCGGUGAAAUGCAUAGAUAUGUUGUAGAACACCAAUUGCGAAGGCAGCUUACUAAACUAUUAUUGACGCUGAGGCGCGAAAGCGCGGGGAGCGAACAGGAUUAGAUACCCUGGUAGUC